rnacentral:rRNA from 1 species
AUUGAACGCUGGCGGCAGGCCUAACACAUGCAAGUCGAACGAGCGGCGGACGGGUGAGUAAUGUCUGGGAAACUGCCUGAUGGAGGGGGAUAACUACUGGAAACGGUAGCUAAUACCGCAUACCAUCGGAUGUGCCCAGAUGGGAUUAGCUUGUUGGUGGGGUCACGGCUCCCCAAGGCGACGAUCCCUAGCUGGUCUGAGAGGAUGACGAGGCACACUGGAACGGAGACACGGUCCAGACUCCUACGGGAGGCAGCAGUGGGGAAUAUUGCACAAUGGGCGAAAGCCUGAUGCAGCCAUGCCGCGUGUAUGAAGAAGGCCUUCGGGGUGUAAAGCACUUGCAGCGGGGAGGCGUUACCCGCAGAAGAAGCACCGGCUAACUCCGUGCCAGCAGCCGCGGUAAUUC